rnacentral:lncRNA from 1 species
UAGAUUGAUUCCGCAUCGGUCACUCUGAUGGAUCAGAACUUGGUUGAAGAAAAAAUGGAUAUAAGCAAAGUCUUUGAAGAGUUAUGCAAAAGUAUUUCAACAAAGUAUUUCCACUUUGAUGAGGACUCCAGGAUUGAGCCUGCCCUGACAAAUGUCACAUUCUGCCCAAAAAGAGUGAUUAAUGACCAACUAAUGAACCCAUCACUCAGGAGGCCCAAUCCAUACAGCAUAUCCCACAGUGAGAGAGCAGAGAGGGCUGCGAACAGGAAGAGGCCUGUGAAUACGACCGCUCGAGCGUACAGAGCCUGGUUUCAGUGGUGGAGGUGUCAACUAUCAAUGGAUGAUUAUCUUAACUACAUUUCUAAUCAGGUUAGUUUAUAAUAGGAGUGUGUGUUUACGGCAGUGG